GAUGAACGCUGACAGAAUGCUUAACACAUCAGCAAUUGAUUGGUGGCGGACGGGUGAGUAACGCGUAAAGAACUUGCCUCACAGGUAGGGACAACAUUUGGAAACGAAUGCUAAUACCUAAUACUGUGAGAGAGCUUUGCGUCCCAUUAGCUAGUUGGAGAGGUAACGGCUCACCAAGGCGAUGAUGGGUAGCCGGCCUGAGAGGGUGACCGGCUAAAAGGGGACGGAGAGACGGCCCUUACUCCAUCGGGAGGCAGCAGUGGGGAAUAAUGGAAAAUGUACCAAAGUCUGAUCCAGCAAUUCUGGGUGCACGAUCAAGUUUUCGGAAUGUAAAGUGCUUUCAGUAGGGAAGCGGUACCAACAGAAGAAGUGACGGCUAAAUACGUGCCAGCAGCCGCGGUAAUUC
rnacentral:rRNA from 1 species